rnacentral:rRNA from 1 species
CCUACGGGUGGCAGCAGUAGGGAAUAUUGCUCAAUGGGGGAAACCCUGAAGCAGCAACGCCGCGUGGAGGAUGAAGGUUUUCGGAUUGUAAACCCCUUUUGUUAGAGAAGAUAAUGACGGUAUCUAACGAAUAAGCACCGGCUAACUCCGUGCCAGCAGCCGCGGUAAUACGGAGGGUGCAAGCGUUACUCGGAAUCACUGGGCGUAAAGAGCGCGUAGGCGGGAUAGCAAGUCAGAUGUGAAAUCCUAUGGCUUAACCAUAGAACUGCAUUUGAAACUGUUAUUCUAGAGUAUGGGAGAGGUAGGUGGAAUUCUUGGUGUAGGGGUAAAAUGCGUAGAGAUCAAGAAGAAUACUCAUUGCGAAGGCGACCUGCUAGAACAUAACUGACGCUGAUGCGCGAAAGCGUGGGGAGCAAACAGGAUUAGAUACCCUAGUAGUC